UAGUUUAAGAUUUUGGAUCAAGGUAUUUCUAAUACUUUCAUCUUAAAAUUAUAUGGUUCUCUUUUAUUCUUGUUCAUCCAUCCCUUAGAUAAUGGAUUAUGGCUUGUUUUCCAAAACACUUUUUCAGUUGAAAAUUGGUAUGUUAUAAACACACAAUGCUCUAGGGAAGAGCGAGUUAUGUUGAAAUUCUUAGAUUUUAAAGCUUGCUGUACAUUUUGAUAGAUAUGGUUUAUUAAUGUGAUUCUUUAUAUGACAAAUUAUGUGGUAUUUUUGCUGACAUUAAACUAUUUGGACACUUUCUUCAUCAAAUAUUGUUCUUCCUUUUUUUCUUUAUUUUGUUAUUCUUAAGAAGGAUUUUUCUCUUUCAU
rnacentral:misc_RNA from 1 species